GGAGAAUUAGCUCAGCUGGUUCAGAGCAUCUGCCUUACAAGCAGAGGGUCACUGGUUCGAACCCAGUAGCCUCCACUA
rnacentral:tRNA from 1 species